rnacentral:rRNA from 1 species
UGGGGAAUAUUGCACAAUGGGCGCAAGCCUGAUGCAGCCAUGCCGCGUGUAUGAAGAAGGCCUUCGGGUUGUAAAGUACUUUCAGCGAGGAGGAAGGCGAUGCGGUUAAUAACCGUGUCGAUUGACGUUACUCGCAGAAGAAGCACCGGCUAACUCCGUGCCAGCAGCCGCGGUAAUACGGAGGGUGCAAGCGUUAAUCGGAAUUACUGGGCGUAAAGCGCACGCAGGCGGUCUUGCAAGUCGGAUGUGAAAUCCCCGGGCUCAACCUGGGAACUGCAUUCGAAACUGGCAGGCUUGAGUCUUGUAGAGGGGGGUAGAAUUCCAGGUGUAGCGGUGAAAUGCGUAGAGAUCUGGAGGAAUACCGGUGGCGAAGGCGGCCCCCUGGACAAAGACUGACGCUCAGGUGCGAAAGCGUGGGGAGCAAACA